rnacentral:rRNA from 1 species
UGCAGUCGAGCGGACGGAUAAGGAGCUUGCUCCUUUGAAGUUAGCGGCGGACGGGUGAGUAACACGUGGGUAACCUACCUAUAAGACUGGAAUAACUUCGGGAAACCGGAGCUAAUGCCGGAUAACAUAUAGAACCGCAUGGUUCUAUAGUGAAAGAUGGUUUUGCUAUCACUUAUAGAUGGACCCGCGCCGUAUUAGCUAGUUGGUAAGGUAAUGGCUUACCAAGGCGACGAUACGUAGCCGACCUGAGAGGGUGAUCGGCCACACUGGAACUGAGACACGGUCCAGACUCCUACGGGAGGCAGCAGUAGGGAAUCUUCCGCAAUGGGCGAAAGCCUGACGGAGCAACGCCGCGUGAGUGAUGAAGGUUUUCGGAUCGUAAAACUCUGUUAUUAGGGAAGAACAAAUGCGUAAGUAACUGUGCGCAUCUUGACGGUACCUAAUCAGAAAGCCACGGCUAACUACGUGCCAGCAGCCGCGGUAAUACGUAGGUGGCAAGCGUUAUCCGGAAUUAUUGGGCGUAAAGCGCGCGUAGGCGGUUUCUUAAGUCUGAUGUGAAAGCCCACGGCUCAACCGUGGAGGGUCAUUGGAAACUGGGAAACUUGAGUGCAGAAGAGGAAAGUGGAAUUCCAUGUGUAGCGGUGAAAUGCG